rnacentral:rRNA from 1 species
CAGCGCCAGGUAAUACAGAGGGUGCGAGCGUUAAUCGGAUUUACUGGGCGUAAAGCGUGCGUAGGCGGCUUCUUAAGUCGGAUGUGAAAUCCCUGAGCUUAACUUAGGAAUUGCAUUCGAUACUGGGAAGCUAGAGUAUGGGAGAGGAUGGUAGAAUUCCAGGUGUAGCGGUGAAAUGCGUAGAGAUCUGGAGGAAUACCGAUGGCGAAGGCAGCCAUCUGGCCUAAUACUGACGCUGAGGUACGAAAGCAUGGGGAGCAAACAGGAUUAGAUACCCCAGUAGUCCCUGUCUCUUAUACAC